AAAAGAAAGACAGAGUCCUGGGCUCCAAGAUGAUGGCACAAUCAGGAACUGGCCCAGAGUAAUCCAUUACCCUUCUCUCCAAGGCUUCCUUCCUCUGCUUCCUAGGCUUUGUCACAAUUUCCUCCAUUUAACCCGUGGGGGGAUGGAACACCUGUUUACCCAUCUGAAAUGCAGGAUGAUAGGAGAUCACCUGCCCUCUGCUCCUCCCUCCUUCCCUGUCAGGACUGAGUCAAUACCGAUGUUCAACUUCUGGUGAUUAGAAGUCAGGAUGUUCAGGUGGUGGGAGGUUAGGUGAGGGACACGUGAUUGUCAUGACGGGCAUUUGGGAUGAAAGUCAGAACCAUAAACACAUAUUCAUUAUGACUCUCCUUCUGCCGGGUCUUUCAUCUGGGGAAUCUCAAAGCCCUGGACAAAUGGUAAUUAAUUUUCACAACAGCUUCCACAAGAGGAUGCAGUGGUGUCUGCCAAAGGCCAGGGGGUAUUUUCCCAGUAUUCUUCCCUCAACCUUUCCUGCUCACUCCCAGCCCCUGCCAGCCCCAAGGUGACGAUGCAGGAGUGGGAGCAUUUCCUGCCUCCACUGGCAGGCUGGGACCAGACAACAAGUUAGUUGACUCAGGAGGAACCACAUGGCUCCAAAAAUACAUCUGCCUCUGCCCGGUUCCAUCUCAUGCUCCCUUCGCCCUUUAGAUAUAGUCACUUGCUCCUUCCCCCAAUCCCACCCCUGGGGAGCCACUUGAAGUCAUUUUUGCCCUUAAUUCUGAUUAUAAAAGAACUAUAAGUGCAUCAUAGGAAACCUAGAGAAUGUAGAAAAAUACAAACAAGCAUUUGAAUAAUCCUAUAAUUCCACUACUCCCAAAAUAACCACUGC
rnacentral:lncRNA from 1 species